AUUGAACGCUGGCGGAAUGCUUUACACAUGCAAGUCGAACGGCAGCAUAGAGAGCUUGCUCUCUGAUGGCGAGUGGCGAACGGGUGAGUAAUAUAUCGGAACGUACCUAGUAAUGGGGAACAACUAGCCGAAAGGUUAGCUAAUACCGCAUACGACCUACGGGUGAAAGCAGGGGAUCUUCGGACCUUGCGUUAUUAGAGCGGCCGAUAUCUGAUUAGGUAGUUGGUGGGGUAAAAGCCUACCAAGCCAACGAUCAGUAGCUGGUCUGAGAGGACGAUCAGCCACACUGGAACUGAGACACGGUCCAGACUCCUACGGGAGGCAGCAGUGGGGAAUUUUGGACAAUGGGGGCAACCCUGAUCCAGCCAUUCCGCGUGAGUGAAGAAGGCCUUCGGGUUGUAAAGCUCUUUCACAAGAGAAGAAAUCUUAUUAUCAAAUAAAUAGUAAGGAUGACGGUAUCUUGAGAAGAAGCACCGGCUAACUACGUGCCAGCAGCCGCGGUAAUACGUAGGGUGCGAGCGUUAAUCGGAAUUACUGGGCGUAAAGCGUGCGCAGGCGGUUUUAUAAGUCAGAUGUGAAAUCCCCGAGCUCAACUUGGGAACUGCGUUUGAAACUGUAAGACUAGAGUGUGUCAGAGGGGGGUAGAAUUCCAUGUGUAGCAGUGAAAUGCGUAGAUAUAUGGAGGAAUACCAAUGGCGAAGGCAGCCCCCUGGGAUAACACUGA
rnacentral:rRNA from 1 species